rnacentral:lncRNA from 1 species
GAAGCAAACAUACACAUCAGACUUGGGAUGUUUUGCUUCAGCAUGUUCUCGACACUUCACCUCCGUCGUGGUACAGAUGAAAGUCUGCAUGCAAACCUUGCACUGCAUUCAGUUUUCCAUGAGCCGCCAGAUGCAGCAUCAGAGCACCCGACAUCGAAAAUGGCGACAUCAUCAACAACAGAUCAAGUCACAACCUUUGUGAGAGGGCUCAUCAAAUAUACUUGUCUUUAUUGCACUAAGAACUAGAAAAUUUGAAACAAAAUCCAAUAAAGACAAUAGACCUUCAUUGAGCAGCUUUUAACUUCCAAUAUCAACCGGAAAAAUGCAACUUAUAAUUAUAAAUCAGAUUCAGAAUUCUUAACUUCUCUGAAUUUGAAUAUCCCAAAGAGGUUAUCUAAUGUGUGCAAACAAUGUAUAGUUUCAUUAUUAUGAAUGCAUCUUGUGUUGAGAAUACUGGUUUUAUGUGCCUGAACACAGAUCACAAAUAUAUCAAUGCAAAUCCAACCUCAAUAAGGUGUAAGAAAAGCAAAUCCAAGCUUGCAACAAGUUUAAACUCCUAGUCGGAACUUGAAAAGUUGUGACAAUGUCUACACAAAAAAAUAAAUAAAUAAAAAAUGCUGCCUUGAAAAAGGUCCAUCUCAGUUACAACGGACAACGUUUCAUACUAACAUGAUGACACAGCCCUUGUUCCUCGACAAUGUCUUCACAAAAAGAUAAAUAAAUAAACAGGUGACUGCAUGAAACUAACGGAUUGUGAAAAUUAUCCACCAUAGAUAAGACAUCUCAAAAACAAGAUGACACAGCCCUUGUUCCUCGACUAAGAAAAGAAGAUAAAUUCCUAACCGAAUUCCCAUUUAAAUAGACAAAUCAAAAAUAGCCAAAAAUUUAUGACAAAGUUUGAGAUAUCGAUCUAUGCUGUUCGUGUGGAUUAUUGGACUCAACAUCAACAAGCUGAGCUCAAAACCAAGAAAGAUUAGGACUACGGAACAGAAAGACUCAUUUAAGUGUUACAAUAAGAAUUAACCUGUCAUAGAAAGAAAUUAUAGCAACAGAAAUGCAAUCAGACAAGACCUUCACACGAGCUUAAUCGAAAGAUCCCAGCUAGCGCAAGAAAAUUUCAGGAUAAAGCAACAAUGAACUAGAAACCAAUCAGCACCCAUUACAACUUAAAGAUUUAUGCUUCAUUUGUUUGCGGAAAAUAUUUUCUCUAAAAAAUAAUUUCUAUGUACAACAUUUUCAAAAGAAUAUUUUCCAUUAUUUGAUUGUAACGUUAAAAAAAUAAAAUAUAAUUAAUAAAUUUAUGUAUUGAAAUUUAAUGGUGUUAAUGAAAUCCUUCAGAAAAUGACUUCUAAGGAAAUUUCCUAUAGACUAAUUUGCAGUUUUUCCAUUAUCAAUUUUCUUAAUGCCGCAAAACGUUAGAAAUGCGAAAUAUCACAAAACAAACAUAGCCCUAACAAGCCCCUAUGAUUCAGAAAACUAAAACCCGAUCAGAGAUUAGCUACCAAACUGUGACACUUGUAGCCUAUUUGAAUCUGAUACAAACAUCAGAACACAGAUCGAAGCGUGAAAAGAGAAUACCUGGAUAGUCAUAGCUUUCUUGUUAGUCUCAAGCUGGCUUCC